AACGAACGUUAGCGGCGCGCCUAACACAUGCAAGUCGAACGAGAAAGGGCUUCGGCCCCGGUACAGUGGCGCACGGGUGAGUAACACGUAGGUAAUCUACCUCUGAGUGGUGGAUAACCCCUCGAAAGGGGGGCUAAUACAGCAUAAGACCACGGUUUCGCAAGAGAUUGGGGUCAAAGCGGGCCUCUUCAAGAAAGCUCGCGCUUAGAGAUGAGCCUGCGGCCCAUCAGCUAGUUGGUAGGGUAAUGGCUUACCAAGGCAAAGACGGGUAGCUGGUCUGAGAGGAUGAUCAGCCACACUGGAACUGAGACACGGUCCAGACUCCUACGGGAGGCUG
rnacentral:rRNA from 1 species